GAUGAACGCUGGCGGCGUGCUUAACACAUGCAAGUCGAACGGAGAUCAUUUUAAUGAGGCUUCGGCGGAUUUGAUCUGAUCUUAGUGGCGGACGGGUGAGUAACGCGUGGGUAACCUGCCUUAUACAGGGGGAUAACAGCCGGAAACGGCUGCUAAUACCGCAUAAGCGCACAGAGGCGCAUGCUUCAGUGUGAAAAACUCCGGUGGUAUAAGAUGGACCCGCGUUGCAUUAGCUGGUUGGUGAGGUAACGGCCCACCAAGGCGACGAUGCAUAGCCGGCCUGAGAGGGC
rnacentral:rRNA from 1 species